UAGGGAAUCUUCCACAAUGGACGAAAGUCUGAUGGAGCAACGCCGCGUGAGUGAAAAAGGGUUUCGGCUCGUAAAACUCUGUUGUUAAAGAAGAACAUAUCUGAGAGUAACUGUUCAGGUAUUGACGGUAUUUAACCAGAAAGCCACGGCUAACUACGUGCCA
rnacentral:rRNA from 1 species